AACACACACACACACAGACACAGUAGGCGUAUAUCAGUGAGAUGUAUAGGCUGUGAGGGUGUAACGCUGAAGAAAAGGAAAAAAGCUGACAGUGAUGUGAGAACUUUGUGAACAACUCUGAUAUUCUGACUACAUACAGCCUCACAUAGCCAGGUUCUCAGCCUGCCAUAUAAACAAAAAUGGGAAUGUUCCAUAAUGAGUGGUGCAGCACACCAGCUGCUUGCGUCUCUAGUGUUGAAUUAACGCCCCUCUGAAACAGUUCGAACCCAAGCUAAACAUUAUAACCUUCAUGUAGGCAGCUUUUACUGCAGGGCUGUUGUAUUAAACUGCAUCGUUUCUAGGUAGGUGCGCCUAACAAACUGGAAGCCUGAGUGCAUGUGACGGUUAGAGCAACACUGACACCUGCUGGUCUAAAAUAAAAAAUGCAAUCACUGUUGCACUGAGGCCGAGUGGCGCUCAAAAGCUUUGGCUUUGAUUUCUUCUCCUCCUCACGUUCCUGCAGCAGAAUAGCAAGACAGCCCAGCGUUCCCUCCAUUACAGACGAGGCUGACUGAGCAAAGACCGCAGCCGUUAAACACGCUGCAUAACCAGCGAUGAACAAAACACAGGGUUGGCAGACUCACCCCCUCUGCAGCAAACAAAGUCUUCUUCAGAUGGAGGCACUGGACAGAGAAGAAGAAGAAGGGAGCAGACCGGUCCCGGUCCAGAUGCCAGGUCUGACGUCCGUUAGCUGACUUACUGGUACAAAUAAGCAGUGAGCAGGAACACUGCUAGACUGCAGGAGGCCUGUGACUGACGGCAGCCUCAAAGCCAGACGCCAGCCCUAAUCAAAUAAACAGACAGCUCCCGAUGGACAAGACAUCAUCACCCAAAUAUUCACAUCUGACUUCAUUCUCAUAAUAAUAUGCAAUAUGUACACAGGAAGCCACGGGAAGGAGCUGUGCUGCCCCCCCGAGGGACUCUAUCUGUUCUCUCGUGAAGAAUGUGAGAGUCAGUCAUAAUAAUCCACUGUAAAUAUCAUGCAUUGUGCUUCAAAAUAAUCAAAGGAAAUCAAAAUCUAAUUCUCCUCAGUUUCAUGAGCAUGAGGUCAUGUAUGAGCAUCAGGAAAUGGUGGUGGGGGGGUAAUGAUGAUGAGUGUAACAAGAUUACAGUGCAAUGUUCUGUGGAUGUGACCUUUAAUCACGCUGAUGUUUAAAACAGACAAAAUACUUCAAGAUUAUAUUUGACUCGAAAACUUUUUUU